rnacentral:rRNA from 1 species
ACAGGGAUUGCCCUAGUAACGGCGAGUGAAGCGGCAACAGCUCAAAUUUGAAAUCUGGCUCUUUUAGAGUCCGAGUUGUAAUUUGCAGAGGGCGCUUUGGCUUUGGCAGCGGUCCAAGUUCCUUGGAACAGGACGUCACAGAGGGUGAGAAUCCCGUACGUGGUCGCUGGCUAUUGCCGUGUAAAGCCCCUUCGACGAGUCGAGUUGUUUGGGAAUGCAGCUCUAAAUGGGAGGUACAUUUCUUCUAAAGCUAAAUAUUGGCCAGAGACCGAUAGCGCACAAGUAGAGUGAUCGAAAGAUGAAAAGCACUUUGGAAAGAGAGUCAAACAGCACGUGAAAUUGUUGAAAGGGAAGCGCUUGCAGCCAGACUUGCUUACAGUUGCUCAUCCGGGUUUCUACCCGGUGCACUCUUCUGUAGGCAGGCCAGCAUCAGUUUGGGCGGUAGGAUAAAGGUCUCUGUCACGUACCUCCUUUCGGGGAGGCCUUAUAGGGGAGACGACAUACUACCAGCCUGGACUGAGGUCCGCGCAUCUGCUAGGAUGCUGGCGUAAUGGCUGUAAGCGGCCCGUCUUGAAACACGGACCAAGGAGUCUAACAUCUAUGCGAGUGUUUGGGUGUCAAGCCCGAGCGCGUAAUGAAAGUGAACGGAGGUGGGAACCCGCAAGGGUGCACCAUCGACCGAUCCUGAUGUCUUCGGAAGGAUUUGAGUAAGAGCAUGGCUGUUGGGACCCGAAAGAUGGUGAACUAUGCUUGAAUAGGGUGAAGCCAGAGGAAACUCUGGUGGAGGCUCGCAGCGGUUCUGACGUGCAAAUCGAUCGUCAAAUUUGGGCAUAGGGGCGAAAGACUAAUCGAACUAUCUAGUAGCUGGUUCCUGCCGAAUUU